rnacentral:rRNA from 1 species
AUUGAACGCUGGCGGCAGGCCUAACACAUGCAAGUCGAGCGGAUGAUGGGAGCUUGCUCCUUGAUUCAGCGGCGGACGGGUGAGUAAUGCCUAGGAAUCUGCCUGGUAGUGGGGGACAACGUUUCGAAAGGAACGCUAAUACCGCAUACGUCCUACGGGAGAAAGCAGGGGACCUUCGGGCCUUGCGCUAUCAGAUGAGCCUAGGUCGGAUUAGCUAGUUGGUGAGGUAAUGGCUCACCAAGGCGACGAUCCGUAACUGGUCUGAGAGGAUGAUCAGUCACACUGGAACUGAGACACGGUCCAGACUCCUACGGGAGGCAGCAGUGGGGAAUAUUGGACAAUGGGCGAAAGCCUGAUCCAGCCAUGCCGCGUGUGUGAAGAAGGUCUUCGGAUUGUAAAGCACUUUAAGUUGGGAGGAAGGGCAGUAAGUUAAUACCUUGCUGUUUUGACGUUACCGACAGAAUAAGCACCGGCUAACUCUGUGCCAGCCGCCGCCGUAACAC